rnacentral:rRNA from 1 species
AACGGGUGAGUAACACGUGAGCAACCUGCCCCUGACUCUGGGAUAAGCCCGGGAAACUGGGUCUAAUACCGGAUACGACCGCCCCCGGCAUCGGGUGGUGGUGGAAAGUCUUUUCGGUUGGGGAUGGGCUCGCGGCCUAUCAGCUUGUUGGUGGGGUAGUGGCCUACCAAGGCGACGACGGGUAGCCGGCCUGAGAGGGCGACCGGCCACACUGGGACUGAGACACGGCCCAGACUCCUACGGGAGGCAGCAGUGGGGAAUAUUGCGCAAUGGGCGGAAGCCUGACGCAGCGACGCCGCGUGGGGGAUGACGGCCUUCGGGUUGUAAACCUCUUUCAGCAGGGACGAAGUUGACGUGUACCUGCAGAAGAAGCGCCGGCUAACUACGUGCCAGCAGCCGCGGUAAUACGUAGGGCGCAAGCGUUGUCCGGAAUUAUUGGGCGUAAAGAGCUCGUAGGUGGCUUGUCGCGUCUGCCGUGAAAGCUCGCAGCUUAACUGCGGGUCUGCGGUGGAUACGGGCUGGCUAGAGGUAGGUAGGGGAGAACGGAAUUCCUGGUGUAGCGGUGAAAUGCGCAGAUAUCAGGAGGAACACCGGUGGCGAAGGCGGUUCUCUGGGCCUUACCUGACGCUGAGGAGCGAAAG